rnacentral:rRNA from 1 species
UACAGAGGUCUCAAGCGUUGUUCGGAUUCAUUGGGCGUAAAGGGUGCGUAGGCGGCGCGGUAAGUCGGGUGUGAAAUCUCGGAGCUUAACUCCGAAACUGCAUUCGAUACUGCCGUGCUUGAGGACUGGAGAGGAGACUGGAAUUUACGGUGUAGCGGUGAAAUGCGUAGAUAUCGUAAGGAAGACCAGUGGCGAAGGCGGCUAUCUGGACCGACAUUGACGCUGAGGCGCGAAAGCGUGGGGAGCAAACAGG